rnacentral:rRNA from 1 species
CCUACGGGCGGCAGCAGUGGGGAAUAUUGCACAAUGGGGGGAACCCUGAUGCAGCGACGCCGCGUGAGUGAAGAAGUAUUUCGGUACGUAAAGCUCUAUCAGCAGGGAAGAAAAUGACGGUACCUGACUAAGAAGCCCCGGCUAACUACGUGCCAGCAGCCGCGGUAAUACGUAGGGGGCAAGCGUUAUCCGGAUUUACUGGGUGUAAAGGGAGCGUAGACGGUUAUGCAAGUCUGAAGUGAAAGCCCAUGGCUCAACCAUGGGACUGCUUUGGAAACUGUAAAACUGGAGUGCAGGAGAGGUAAGCGGAAUUCCUAGUGUAGCGGUGAAAUGCGUAGAUAUUAGGAGGAACACCAGUGGCGAAGGCGGCUUACUGGACUGUAACUGACGUUGAGGCUCGAAGGCGUGGGGAGCAAACAGGAUUAGAUACCCCUGUAGUC